rnacentral:rRNA from 1 species
AUUGAACGCUGGCGGCAGGCCUAACACAUGCAAGUCGAGCGAGCGGCGGACGGGUGAGUAAUGUAUGGGGACUGCCCGAUCUAGGGGGAUUACUCCUGGAAACGGUAGCUAAUACCGCAUACUAUCGGAUAACCCAUAUGGGAUUAGCUAGUCGGUGAGGUAAUGGCUCACCUUGGCGACGAGCCCUAGCUGGUCUGAGAGGAUGAUCAGCCACACUGGGAAUGAGACAAGGCCCAGACGCCUACGGAGGCAGCAGUGGGGAAUAUUGCACAAUGGGCGCAAGCCUGAUGCAGCCAUGCCGCGUGUAUGAAGAAGGCCCUAGGGUUGUAAAGUACUUUCAGUCGGGAGGCGUUACCGACAGAAGAAGCACCGGCUAACUCCGUGCCAGCAGCCGCGGUAAUUC